AUUGAACGCUGGCGGCAGGCCUAACACAUGCAAGUCGAGCGAGCGGCGGACGGGUGAGUAAUGUCCGGGAAACUGCCUGAUGGAGGGGGAUAACUACUGGAAACGGUAGAUAAUACCGCAUCCCAUCAGAUGUGCCCAGAUGGGAUUAGCUAGGGGGUGGGGUAACGGCACACCUAGGCGACGAACCCUAGCUGGUCUGAGAGGAUGACCAGCCACACUGGAAAUGAGACACGGUCCAGACUCCUACGGGAGGCAGCAGUGGGGAAUAUUGCACAAUGGGCGCAAGCCUGAUGCAGCCAUGCCGCGUGUGUGAAGAAGGCCUUCGGGUUGUAAAGCACUUUCAGCGGGGAGGCGUUACCCACAGAAGAAGCACCGGCUAACUCCGUGCCAGCCGCCGCGGUAAUAC
rnacentral:rRNA from 1 species